GCCUUCGUGAUGUAAUGGUAGCAAACUCGGCUUGUAUUCGAGAGGUCCAGAUUCGUCUCCCGGCGAGGACA
rnacentral:tRNA from 1 species